rnacentral:rRNA from 1 species
CAGUAGCCGCGGUAAUACGAAGGGUGCAAGCGUUACUCGGAAUUACUGGGCGUAAAGCGUGUGUAGGUGGUGGUUUAAGUCCGUUGUGAAAGCCCUGGGCUCAACCUGGGAAUUGCAGUGAAUACUGGGUCACUAGAGUGUGGUAGAGGAUAGUGGAAUUUCCGGUGUAGCAGUGAAAUGCGUAGAGAUCGGAAGGAACAUCUGUGGCGAAGGCGACUAUCUGGGCCAUUACUGACACUGAGGCACGAAAGCGUGGGGAGCAAACAGGAUUAGAUACCCCCGUAGUCCCUGUCUCUUAUAC